rnacentral:rRNA from 1 species
CAGCCGCCGCGGGAACACGGAGGGAGCUAGCGUUGUUCGGAAUUACUGGGCGUAAAGCGCACGUAGGCGGUUAUUCAAGUCAGAGGUGAAAGCCCGGGGCUCAACCCCGGAACUGCCUUUGAAACUAGAUGACUAGAAUCUUGGAGAGGUCAGUGGAAUUCCGAGUGCAGAGGUGAAAUUCGUAGAUAUUCGGAAGAACACCAGUGGCGAAGGCGACUGACUGGACAAGUAUUGACGCUGAGGUGCGAAAGCGUGGGGAGCAAACAGGAUUAGAUACCCCAGUAGUCCCUGUCUCUUAUAC